rnacentral:rRNA from 1 species
CCUACGGGAGGCAGCAGUGGGGAAUAUUGCACAAUGGGGGAAACCCUGAUGCAGCGACGCCGCGUGAGUGAAGAAGUAUUUCGGUAUGUAAAGCUCUAUCAGCAGGAACGAGACAAGACGGUACCUGACUAAGAAGCCCCGGCUAACUACGUGCCAGCAGCCGCGGUAAUACGUAGGGGGCAAGCGUUAUCCGGAAUCACUGGGUGUAAAGGGAGCGUAGACGGCUGUGCAAGCCUGAAGUGAAAGGCGGGGGCCCAACCCCUGGACUGCUUUGGGAACUGUACGGCUGGAGUGCAGGAGAGGUA